AGUAAUGUCUGGGAAACUGCCUGAUGGAGGGGGAUAACUACUGGAAACGGUAGCUAAUACCGCAUAACGUCGCAAGACCAAAGAGGGGGACCUUCGGGCCUCUUGCCAUCGGAUGUGCCCAGAUGGGAUUAGCUAGUAGGUGGGGUAAAGGCUCACCUAGGCGACGAUCCCUAGCUGGUCUGAGAGGAUGACCAGCCACACUGGAACUGAGACACGGUCCAGACUCCUACGGGAGGCAGCAGUGGGGAAUAUUGCACAAUGGGCGCAAGCCUGAUGCAGCCAUGCCGCGUGUAUGAAGAAGGCCUUCGGGUUGUAAAGUACUUUCAGCGGGGAGGAAGGGAGUAAAGUUAAUACCUUUGCUCAUUGACGUUACCCGCAGAAGAAGCACCGGCUAACUCCGUGCCAGCAGCCGCGGUAAUACGGAGGGUGCAAGCGUUAAUCGGAAUUACUGGGCGUAAAGCGCACGCAGGCGGUUUGUUAAGUCAGAUGUGAAAUCCCCGGGCUCAACCUGGGAACUGCAUCUGAUACUGGCAAGCUUGAGUCUCGUAGAGGGGGGUAGAAUUCCAGGUGUAGCGGUGAAAUG
rnacentral:rRNA from 1 species